GGAUGCGUUUUCAAAUUGAUGACCUCUGUCCCUAGACGUCAGGAAAAUUAGUAAUUUUGAGGCUGGAGAUUUGUUGAGAUGUGAGACCUCAGCUGUUUCUGCCUGAUGACUGCAGCCUGCCGCCCUGAUUCCCUGCUGUGACGGACUCUUACCUUCUGGAACUGAAAAGAUUAUAGUCACCUUGCAAACAGAAAACGACUUGAAGUCACUUUGCAUUGGGUCUCCCACCAGCUUCUCAGAUUAUGUCCAAACAGAAGGUAAAUUUGGAUGAAAAGAAGAAGUAGUUCCAAGGAACAUCAGCCAUGAAGCAAACUAGUAUGGACUGGAUGUUUGCAUUCUCCCGUAGUUUACAUGUUGCGAUUCUGUCUCCUAAGUUGUUGACAUCGAGAGUUAGGGGCAUCAGGAGGCAAUGUUAUCGUGUGCUAGAGCCUUCUCAUUAACAUCACUAACGCACUUACUGAAAAGCACCGGGAAGCAUACCUUCUCUUUCUUUCAGCUGUGUGAGUACACAAGUCUAUGAGAGAGGAAGGGCGGGUCCACUAGACCCUGGGUCUGUGCCGUCAUAUGUUUGGAGCCUCUCAGUCUCUAGAAAUGAGAGAAUCAUGUCUCUUCUUUGAGGUGGUGAUUUGAUAAGUAAGCCCCAACUUAAAACAAAAGUAUCUGUCUAUCCUCUGCCCUUUGGCUAGAUAUCCUGAAGUGAAUGCUGCUAGGGUUCACACUGGGCUUUCCUUUUAAAAGGUGUGAUGGCAAGAUUUCUUCCCAGUGUCAUGACCUCUUCUAUGGGACAUUAGCAUCUUGAAUUUCCAGAGGAAAACCAUCCCUCCCACAGUCAACCACACAGGGUUUGUGGGAUUCUAGUGUUGGCUCUGGAUAGCUCAUGAGGGAAUCUUUCCCCUUAACCCGCUGUGACUGGUUCAGAGACAGGCACACGAGUUAAUCUACUCCAACCGGAGUGAAGCUUACUGCCUGUGAUGAAACUGCAGAAAGGCUUCUUUCAUGGCGGCUGAUCAUGGGACGCAAUGAGCUAAGGAACUCCGCAAACAGACCUGUCGCUCUUGGGCAGCUAACACGCUGACGUAAAGAUUAAAGACGGAGUUACCCAGGUCUUAGCCCAGAGCCUGAAGAAAGAUUGAUUCCCCAAACUGUUGUUAUAUUUUGGACAUAGAUUAUCCUCAAAAGACCUGAUGCUUUUGUGGAAGACCUGUUGUCAUCUGGUAUACCUAGUCAUCGAGUAAUUUUUGUGUCAUCAGGGCUCUGAACUAAACGAUGGACUCAACUGUACCAGGAUUUUUCUUUUAGGCCACCAACCAGCUCUGAAAUCAUGACACAGAGACUUCUCACUAGUUAUGAAUGCUCAGCUUAGCUUAGGCAUGUUUCUGGCGAGCUCUUUUAACUAAAAUUAACCUGUUUCUCUUUACCUACCUUUCGC